UUUCCACGUAGCAUCGUCAUCAGCGCUCCUUUUGCUUAGGUGUACACGUGUUGUCAUCGUGGAUUAGGAGGGAAUGGAAAAUAGCUUUUGCAUCUGGUUCUAGAAAACACUGGCCAUUGCCUGCACCAAAACCCGAAAACCACGAGAUAUUCAAGUUCUGCUGCCGAUUCACUGUUGAAGAUGAUUCGUGUGCGGCAAAGGGUAAGGCAGCUGUGGAAUUUAUAGGCAGUGGAAGAUUCGUGGCUGCCAUUCUAUGAUGAUGUAGGUAAAAAGUUGAUUUUCUAUUUUUACAGGCUAUAGCUACUGUUAACGCUUAAGCGAAUAAGUAUGGGGCUGGCAUUCCAAGAAAAGUGAUCUAUGAACAGCAGCAGGAGUCGUUGCUGCAACACGAAACCUAACUUUUGACCAUCCGCUGACAUCUCUCUGAAGGUUUUUUAAUGGCACUUUUGAGGAAAAGCAUACCAAAGGAUACUACUACUGCAAUGUCUGAGUGCCCUAUCCUUAAUAUGGUCAAAUGGGGGUGGUGAUGUAAGCAUAAGAAAAAAAAUCAAGUUCUUUAGUUCAUUGCAAGUCGGCCCAUUGCCAGGCACCCUAAUAUUAGCGGUCAAAAUGGAGCAAUUUGUCUGGAUAUUUUGAAAGACCAAUGGAACCCAACUCUAACAUUUAAUUGCAGAGAUUGUUGGGAUCUGAAAAUAAGAAAAUGGAGAAUGUAGCACCACACUACUACUCGAAAUUGGCUUUGGGUCAUGCUAUUCAUAGAAUGGUUCGAGGGAUUCCAAGAGUUUCAUUCAUCCAAUUUUUGCUCUUUAUGUAAAAAUUCUUUCAAAAAGCUCAAACAUUUUUCAAUGUAAAUACACGUGAACCUUCUUUAAUAAUCUCUUAUAGCUUUGAAAUAUAUAUAUAUUUUU